rnacentral:rRNA from 1 species
AUUGAACGCUGGCGGCAGGCCUAACGCAUGCAAGUCGAACGGUAACAGGAAGCAGCUUGCUGCUUCGCUGACGAGUGGCGGACGGGUGAGUAAUGUCUGGGAAACUGCCUGAUGGAGGGGGAUAACUACUGGAAACGGUAGCUAAUACCGCAUAACGUCGCAAGACCAAAGAGGGGGACCUUAGGGCCUCUUGCCAUCGGAUGUGCCCAGAUGGGAUUAGCUAGUAGGUGGGGUAACGGCUCACCUAGGCGACGAUCCCUAGCUGGUCUGAGAGGAUGACCAGCCACACUGGAACUGAGACACGGUCCAGACUCCUACGGGAGGCAGCAGUGGGGAAUAUUGCACAAUGGGCGCAAGCCUGAUGCAGCCAUGCCGCGUGUAUGAAGAAGGCCUUCGGGUUGUAAAGUACUUUCAGCGGGGAGGAAGGGAGUAAAGUUAAUACCUUUGCUCAUUGACGUUACCCGCAGAAGAAGCACCGGCUAACUCCGUGCCAGCAGCCGCGGUAAUACGGAGGGUGCAAGCGUUAAUCGGAAUUACUGGGCGUAAAGCGCACGCAGGCGGUUUGUUAAGUCAGAUGUGAAAUCCCCGGGCUCAACCUGGGAACUGCAUCUGAUACUGGCAAGCUUGAGUCUCGUAGAGGGGGGUAGAAUUCCAGGUGUAGCGGUGAAAUGCGUAGAGAUCUGGAGGAAUACCGGUGGCGAAGGCGGCCCCCUGGACGAAGACUGACGCUCAGGUGCGAAAGCGUGGGGAGCAAACAGG